UACGGAGGGGGCAAGCGUUGUUCGGAAUUACUGGGCGUAAAGCGCGUGUAGGCGGCGUGACAAGUCGGGUGUGAAAGCCCUCAGCUCAACUGAGGAAGUGCGCCCGAAACUGUCGUGCUUGAGUGUCGGAGAGGGUAGCGGAAUUCCCCAAGUAGAGGUGAAAUUCGUAGAUAUGGGGAGGAACACCGGUGGCGAAGGCGGCUACCUGGACGACUACUGACGCUGAGACGCGAAAGCGUGGGGAGCAAACAGG
rnacentral:rRNA from 1 species